rnacentral:misc_RNA from 1 species
AACGCACAUUGCGCCCCUUGGUAUUCCGAGGGGCAUGCCUGUUCGAGCGUCAGUUGACCGAUCAAGCCUGGCUUGGUAUUGGGGCCCGCCUUCCAGCGGCCUCUAAACACAGUGGCGGUACCGUUCGGUUCUCAGCGUAGUAAUUCUUCUCGCUACAGAGCCCUGCGGUUGCUUGCCAUAACCCCAACUUCUUAUGGUUGACCUCGGAUCAGGUAGGGAUACCCGCUGAACUUAA